rnacentral:rRNA from 1 species
AUGGGGGAUAAGCUUCAUCGUCGAGAGGGAAACAGCCCGGAUCACCAGCUAAGGCCCCUAAAUGACCGCUCAGUGAUAAAGGAGGUGGGGGUGCAAAGACAGCCAGGAGGGGAGCGUUCCGCCUUAGAGGGAAGCAACCGCGAAAGCGGGGGUCGACGAAGCGGAAGCGAGAAUGUCGGCUUGAGUAACGAAAACAUUGGUGAGAAUCCAAUGCCCCGAAAACCCAAGGUUUCCUCCGCAAGCUUAGGUGGAAGGCGAAGAAGGCCCCCUUCCGGGGGGGGCCCGAGCCAUCAGUGA